rnacentral:misc_RNA from 1 species
CAUGAUAUCACAUAGAAUUUGCCAAAUUUGGAUUUCCAUACAUUGCAAUUAAAGGUGAAAGCAUUUCAUAUUGACUAGAAAGAAAAAUGUUACAUACAAUUUACUUAAGCAUAGUAUCAUUCCUUUUUUUCUUCCUUGGAACCCUCCACCUUGGCUUCUUUUGCCUUUGGUUUUCCCUGCUUGGGCUUCAUGAAGCAGAAACAUGAG